GAUCUGGACAGCAGUGUUGUCAUGGAAAGAGACCUGGGGGCCCUGGUUGAUGGCAAGUUGAAUAUGAGUCAGCAGUGCCCUGGCAGCCAGGAGGGCCAACUGUGUCCUGGGAGGCAUCAGGCAAAGCAUCGCCAGCU